UUCCGGUGACUUUUCCGGCGAUUUUUCUGUGACCGAACUCACCGUUUUCACUAGAUUUUCUAGUGAAAAUUCUUAGUUAAUAAACUAAGAAAAUAUACAAAGAGGAUUAAGCUCGAUCCCGAUAUUAGGGAAAUCCAAGUUAUGAACAGAGAGAUGUAGGUGGCCGGGAUGGGAUCUAGGAAUGCAUUAGGACAUUUCAUUUAUAUUACCCCAUAAUUUUCAGUUAUUGUAUUUUUACAAUUAAAUGACCGUUUCCGCAUUUAUUAAAAACUCUGAGAUUUUGAAACCA